GCUACCUACCCCUGGAGCGCCGAAACAUUUCGGGGCACAGUUCGUGCCUCAGGGUGGGCCGGGGAGAGGGGCCGAGGGGGGAUCUCUGGCAGGUCUCAAGCCGGACGCCAUCUUCUCCAUCGCUAGCGCGGAGCUUAACUACAUUUCCCAGGAGGCAUCGCGUCCGCCGCUCCUCCCCACAGCGAGGCGGGCUGCUUGGAGCUGAGCGCGCUCCGGCCACUGACACGUUUCAGAGGAGACCGAGGUUGAAAAAAGCCCAGAGCCCGGCGCCGAGAGAGACGGCGAGAGAGGGAACAUGAGCAGGGGAAGUGGGAGACGGAGAAGCAGGCUUCCCGCUGAUCAGGGAGCCCGACGCGGGGCUCGAUCCCAGGACCCCGGGAUCAUGACCUGAGCCGAAGCCAGAUGCUUAAAGACCGAGCCACCCAAGUGCCCCUCAAAAGGCUCUUUAAAGGAAUUGUGUUGUGCCCAAUGCGGGGUUUGAACUCACGACCCUAUGAUCAAGACCUGACAGAUCGAGUCGGACACUUACCUGACUGAGCCACCCAAGCACCUGAGGACACACAAAUCACCUGAAGGAGCUAAGGGAGACCACCAUUUGACAAUACAAGAAUCAAAAGGGGAAAAAACCUUUGUGUACUAAAAUAUGCUAAAUAAAUAAGUAAAAUUAAUACCUAGUAUUGAUUUUUUUUAAACUACAACAGAAAUCACAAACUUAGACUAGAAGAACACACUUUUCACCAAUUCAGGUGUCUGGUCUGGGAUAAGGAAGGUAUAGGGUGAGGCUGGGAAAGUCUCAAAAAGCAAGAAUAAAUUUAAAGAUUAAAGGACUGAGUCAGAGACACACAAAAAUCACCAUAAGAAAUUUCUUGAUAUCCAUACAACUGGGCAUCAAGAAUUAAGACUGGUGAGCUAAAGUAAACUGAAUCAAAAACCAAUUAAAAAAAAAUGAAACAUAAACAAGAAAAAGUCAGAAAAUUUCAGAUGCACCAUUUUUAGUCGCUAAUCAGUUAUAAUCGUAGGAAGAACAUAAACAUUCUUGCUGGUAACAACAUGAGGGCAACUAAUAAAUGCAGAAGGAAUGAGGGAUUUAGAAGAAAACAUUGAUCUAAAUGAAGAUUUUUAAUUGUAAAAAUCAUUAGGCUAAUUAUUAAUAAGGAACUAUAUAUUCACAGGAUGAGAAGCUAAGACAACAGAUUUUUCUUUUUCUUUUUUUUUAAGUAGGCUCCCUCGGGGCUUGAACUCACAACGCUGAGAUCAAAACUUGAGGUGAGGGCGCCUGGGUGGCUCAGUUGGUUGGGCAGCUGCCUUCGGCUCAGGUCAUGAUCCUGGAGUCCUGGGAUCGAGUCCCGCAUCGGGCUCCCUGCUCGGCAAGGAGUCUGCUUCUCCCUCUGACCCUCCCCCCCUCAUGCUCUCUCUCAUUCUCUCUCAAUAAAUAAAAUCUUAAAAAAAAUUAAAAAAAAAAAAAAAAACUUGAGGUGAGAGCAAGAGUAGGAUACUUAACCGACUGAACUACCUAGGCGCCCCUCACAGAGAUAUCCUUCUGACCAUACUGUGUGAAUUUGCUUUCUCCCUCAUUCUUUAUUCCUUUGUUGUUAUUUUUUACUUUUCUUUAUAGCACUUACCACUAUAUAUGAUACAUUUUCUAAUUGUUUUCCUGUUUAUUAUACAUCUCGCUAGUGAGUCAAUUCCGUAAAGCAAGAACUGUAUCAUUUUUUCUCACCAUUGUACUGAUAGGUCUACCAUAAUAUUUAUCUCAGUGUAGACAGUGAUUAAAUGUUGAGUAUAUAAAUGACCAUGGUUUUUUGUCAAGAGAAUUUAUAUAAAUUCAAAUAGAAAGCAACAUGGAAAAAAUGUUGGUUGCACUAGGGAAGACCUUAAUUGGCUUCCCCAAGUGUUGGGCUUUUUUCCACAGGGCUUUAAAGGGAGUUUCCCAAAAACAUCACAAAGACCCACCUAUUCCCAGAGAAGCUGGGCUUUUUACUCUGGUGAUGGCUUUCCCUCUCUUACCAGCAGCCCUCACUCACCUGGCCCUCUGUUCUUGUCAUAUCCCUUACGACCCUCCAGAACAGCUUCCCUUCCUCCAAUAAGGUGAUCACAAAUGGCUUAAAAAUGGAACAACCUGGGCACCUGGGUGGCUCAGAUGGUUAAGCGUCUGCCUUUGGCUCGGGUCAUGAUCCCGGGGUCCUGGGAUCGAGUCCCGCAUCGGGCCCCCUGCUCUUUGGGAGCCUGCUUCUCCCUCUGCCUCUCUCUGUCUCUCAUGAAUAAAUAAAUAAAAUCUUUAAAAAAAAAAAAAGAACAACCUGCUUAUGACAAAGGAAUGUAACAUAAGGUAUAAAAAAAGAACUACAAUUAUAUAAAACACUUAAGAGAAUUGGUUCAGUUUUGAUAAAUGAAGUUGAAUUGAUACUGAUAGAUUUCAGAGAAAAGAAAUGUGAGGAGAUUGAAAGACCAUUCACCUUAGAGUGACCACAGAAUUAUAUAAAGAGAUCUUUAUUCAAACCCAUUCCAACUCUUUGUCUUGUGAGGCAAUUUAUUGUACCAGUUAAUAACACCAGCUUUUGUGUCAGACUACUUGGGUAGAAAACCUCCAUUGAUACUAAUUAGCUGUGUAAUCCUGGAGAAGUUGCCUAAAUACUUUUUGUCUUAGCAAAAUAAUACAACAAGUAUUCAUGUCAUAGGGUUACUGAAGAAUUAAAAGAUUCAAUAUAUUAAAAGUGCUUAGAAUAGAACCUGGUACAUGCCAAGAUCGAUGUGAUCUGACAGGAAAACAGGCAGCUUUCUAAAACAUUAAAAGAUCCUUAUUGGAAUACUGACAAUGUUAAAUGCGAAGUUCUUCAACCACAAAACAGGUGUAAGACCGUACAUGUGAGGCAAUGAACAUGAAUUCUGUUUAUCCAUCUAACAUACAAAUUAUGCAUUCUUUUAAUAAUCAUAACAAAUCAGGACACAGUUUCCUAGCUACUCUUCAAGAAGGUGGGAUAGAAAAUAGCAAAGCAUUUGUAGCAAUUCUGACUUCGAACCCAAUAUAAGAGCUAUCUCAAAGGAUGUGUUUUAUGUCUUCUAAAAUUCAAAUUAAACUCCCUGGGUAUCAGGGAAAGCAGAAAUAUGAAGGGACUGAGAAGAUACAAACAUCAUCAAGAAUGAUGAAUGUGCUUAAUGGAGGUCUCAUUUACAACCCAAUGUUCAACCAUGCCUCUGGAAACAGGUACCUACUUUCUUAUAAGAUAGCCUUGGGUUUACUAAAAAGCAACUGAUAUUCAAUAGCGCAUAUUCUAAAUUAUAUGAAGCAGAUAAAUUUACCCAGUGAGACCAAGUUGCUAUAGUUCUCCAUCAUCACAUCCCAAUACAAGUCCCUCUGAGCUGAAUCCAGAUAUUCCCAUUCCUCUUGAGAGAAGUUGAUGACCACAUCCCUGAAUGUCACCAAUUCCUGAAACAACAAACCGUAUAUAGGUGAAAUUGAAGGAAAUAUUUUUGAGAAAAAAGAAAAGAAUUGCAUUAUGGCAGGUAGACUAAAUAGUAACCUGGUAGGCCAAGGGUAGAAGAUCUGUAGAACAGAUAGGCACACAGGAGUUAUACUGUUAUGUGUGGUUCCAACUCUCACCAGAAAGUGAAAAACUAUGGGAAUGUGGGGCAGGCUCUAUUUGGUAGGAAGGUUCAGAAAAAGGAAAUGUUCACAAAGGUGACAGAUCCAGCAACUUACAUGGUCCAUGCUUAGAACUGUAAAGAAUUGGUCUGGGAAUUCCAUUUCUGCCAUGACAGCGUGAGGAACUCCGAUCACAUGCUCCUCCGUCAAAACUGGUGAAAAUUAUAUAUAAAAAUGUAUAGCAAAUGAAAAAAACAUUUGUUCAAGAAAAUCUGCUAAAACUUAUUACAAGCUGAAAUUCUACGGUAUCUGAACCAAACCCUUCCUUGUUCAUUCCAUCUGAGUGAGAAAAAUCCUCUAUUCCAUACUGGUACAGUCAAGGCUUCCUCACCACUCAUCAACCCUUGCUCCCAGAUAGAUGGCCAUCUUUCUGCGAGGAGCAGGACAUCAACAUUUCUCAUCCUGCCCCCACCUACCUAUUGCUCAGGAAAAUGCAGCUAAGGGAUAGAGAUUUUCUUCUGUCUAGCAGCCACACACAAAAUGUAAUAUGUGCCCUGGGUGUGGCAGUGGUAAGAAUACCAGGGUUCUAGUUGUCUGCCUUGGAUCAUGGGAGAGGAUCAUUGAUCAUGCCGAGAGCAAAUUGCAACUUCUGGCUGCUGUACCCCACCCCACCCCCAAUCUACCAAGUACUCAGUUCCUAAAAGCAGAGGUGUGACUCAGAGUGAAGCAUGCUAUUGUCCCAAGCACUAGAUCUGUGGCUCUGAUUUCAUCCAGGGGGAGAAGCAGGCCACAGACAAGAGAGCUGUAUAUCCCUCUCCAAAGGAAAUUACUUCAUUUGUAAACUAUGGAUAAAUUCAAGCCUAAGGACAUUCUCAAAAACAGCAAAGUUUUGGUAAAAGACUGAAAGACUCACUGGACGUGGAUGUUUGAUUUUCACAGGCAUAUAUACAUGUAUUUUUUCCCCUUUCACUUAACCAUUUUGAAUAUCAACUGUAUAAAAUAAUAUAUUAUUGGGCCUAUAACAUAUAAAAGUAUAAUAUUUCUGCUAGUAACACAGGGGAGGUGGGUAAAAGCAAAGCCAAAUUGGGCUAAGUAAAUGAAUAUAGCUGGUACUUCAAAUCCACAAUAUCAAAUCAAAAAAAUAAAAAACAGUAAAUAAGGGGCAACUGGCUGGCUCAGUAGGCAUAGCAUGUGGCUCUGAUCUUGGGGUUGUGAGUUCAAGCACCAUGCUGGGUGUAGAGCUUACUGAAAAUUAUAAGAUUAAAACAACAAAAGCUAUGACAGGUUUUCUUUUGUUCUCGUACUUUUAAAAAAAAUUUAAAUUCAAUUAAUACAUAUUAUUGGUUUCAGAGGUAUAGGCCUGUGAUUCAUCAGUCUUACAUAAUACCUAGUGCUCAUUAUAUCACAUGCCCUCCUUAAUGUCCAUCACCCAGUCACCCCAUCCUUCCAUCCCCCUCCCCUCCAGCAACCCUCAGAUUGUUUUUUUUUUUUAAAGAUUUUAUUUAUUUAUCUGACACAGAGAGACACAGCGAGAGAGGGAACACAAGCAGGGAGAGUGGGAGAGGAGAAGCAGGCUUCCUGCGGAGCAGGGAGCCUGAUGCAGGGCCUGGGAUCAUGACCUGAGACAAAGGCAGAUGCUUAAUGACUGAGCCACCCAGGCGCCUCCAGAUUGUUUAUGAUUAAGAGUCUCUUAUGGUUUGUCUCCCUCUCUGGUUUCGUCUUGUUUUUUUCCUCUCUUCCCCUAUGAUCCUGUUUUGUUUCCUAAAUUCCACAUAUCCGUGAGAUCAUAUGAUAAUUGUCUCUGAUUGACUUAUUUUUUAAAGAUUUUUUAUUUAUUUAUUUGACAGAGGGAGACACAGUGAGAGAGGGAACACAAGCAGGGGGAGUGGGAGAGGGAGAAGCAGGCUUCCCAUGGAGCAGGGAGCCCAAUGUGGGGCUCGAUCCCAGGACCCUGGGAUCAUGACCUGAGCCGAAGGCAGACGCUUAAUGAUUGAGCCACCCAGGCGCCCUCUGAUUGACUUAUUUUGCUCAGCAAAACAGUUCAAUCCACGUCACUGCAAAUGGCAAGAUUUCCAUUUUUGAUGGCUGUGUAAUAUUCCAUUGUGUGUGUGUGUGUGUGUGUAUACACCACAUCUUCUUUAUCCAUUCAUCUGUUGAUGGACAUCCGGGCUCUUUCCAUAGUUUGGCUAUUGUGGACAUUGCUGCUAUAAACAUUGGGGUACGGGUGCCCCUUUGGAUCACUACAUUUGUAUUUUUGGGGUAAAUGCCCAGUAGUGGAGUUGCUGGGUCGUAGGGUAGCUCCAUUUUCAACUUUUUGAGGAAACUCCAUACUGUUUUCCAGAGUGGCUGCACAGUUGCAUUCCCACCAACAGUGUAGGAGGGUUCCCCUUUUUGUUCUCAUACUUUUUAAAAGACAAGUAACACUUCUCUAUCUCAUGGGAUUUUAGUAUAUAUGGAAAGCUGUUUCUCAUUAGAUGUAUACAUUAAGCUCUGGAUCAACCACUAAAAAUAGGUGCAAAUCAUUUAUCUCAUAAGGGGUUAAAUAUCCAAAAUACAUAAAGGACUCUUACAACUCAGUAUAAAAAAAGACAUAAUCCAAUUAAAAAAUGGGCAGAGGAUCUGAAUAGA